GAUGAAGAACGCAGCGAAAUGCGAUAAGUAGUGUGAAUUGCAGAAUUCAGUGAAUCAUCGAGUCUUUGAACGCACAUUGCGCCCCCUGGUAUUCCGGGGGGCAUGCCUGUCCGAGCGUCAUUGCUGCCCUCAAGCCCGGCUUGUGUGUUGGGUCGCCGUCCCCCUCUCCGGGGGGACGGGCCCGAAAGGCAGCGGCGGCACCGCGUCCGAUCCUCGAGCGUAUGGGGCUUUGUCACAUGCUCUGUAGGAUUGGCCGGCGCCUGCCGACGUUUUCCAACCAUUCUUUCCAGGUUGACCUCGGAUCAGGUAGGGAUACCCGCUGAACUUAAGCAUAUCAAUAAGCGGAGGA
rnacentral:misc_RNA from 1 species